GGUAAGCAUCUUGGCUGCCUCGACACAUUUACUGUUAAACAAAGCGUGUGACUGGUGAGAUAACAGUAAGGACAUUUUAAACGCAAUUUCUUCAAACAGGAUCAAAAGGUGGGUUUGAUCAUGGAGGUGACCUUGACAUUCCUGAGUGGCACUGGACUCCAUAUCUCCUCUGGCACCAGAACCUGGCUGGCUUUACUCGCCAUUCGCAUCUUCGCAGUUAUCAUUGGUGCAAAAACUAUUUGGGAAGACGACCUGCAAGAUCUUGCUUGUAAUUCCACCCAGGUGGGCUGUCACUACCAAUGUUACACUGAGCUUUCACCUAUGUCACCCUUCACCUUGUUCUCACUCCAAAUCACGUUCAUUUUCACCCUCUCAUGGACAAACAUCUUGUACAACAAAAGCAACCUCAGACAGUUGAGGUGCAACUUCGUUCAACCAACUGACAUCCAUUGGAAAAUUAACUUUCUCAUUACUCUUGCCAAAUUACUGACUGAAGGAAUCUUCCUUUUUUUCCAUUAUAUGCUCUACCCAAGUUUACUAAGGCAACAUGUGUUUAAAUGUGAUAUAACUCCCUGUGAGAAGACAGUGGUCUGCAUUAUGCUGAAAAGUCGGCAGAAAGAUGCCUUUGUGAUUUUCAUGUACACCUGUUCACUUGCUUCUGUGUUGAUGGAGACAAUAAAGACCUACUAUUUAGUGGGAAAAGUUGUAUAAGAAAUAUAA